UGCAGUCAAGUCAAAUUCAGUCCCCAUAUCUGUCAUAGUGGGUACUGGCCCAGAUGACUGCCACAGUAAACUCUGUAGCUCCAAAGCCCUGAGUCCCCUGCCCCUGGGACCCAGGGAUAAGUUUGGCUAUGGACAUUG